UUCUUACAAAGAUGUUUCAGAUAAAUACAAAUCACUACGAUAAAAUGUCUAUUUCCUAACUUGACAAUCAAGCUUGAGCUUACAAAAUGUAAUUACAUGACAACUGAAACUUUCCUUUGACUGCUUGCAUGUAUUUGACAACAACUCCAUGAUUAGGAUCCGGACAGGUAAUAAGAAAGCGGUGAAUUUCUUCUAAAUGUUGGACGCUGGUUUUGCUGGAUCUUAGGGAGUUCAUUUGAUCCAAGAGAAACUUUUUGCACGUAAAGCUUUGCAUUACCUACUGUAAAUUCAUAUCUAUAUUCAACCACAAAAUUCAAAACUAUAUAUACAUGUAUUUAUUUACAAAUAAAACAUUAUACAUCACAUAGGCUUGCUAUGAUGAUAUGAGAUAAAGCCAUGUAUGUAAGUCAGAUAUGGUCUUUACACACUGUGAAACCAACAACCACUAACAUGAAAUGUUUUACUUCCCUGAAUCCCUCAGCAGCUUCAGAACAUGUUUUUAACAAGAGCUGCCAGAUGCGUCGCAUCACAGCUGAAUCCAGUUGAACAUCACAUAUUCACACACAAUAUUUAGGAAGUUGAUGAUCUUGUUUAAAGCUGUUUUAAACAGUGCCCCUCAUAGGUCCAUAAGUACUUGGACAGUGACCCUCCCACCUCCUCAAUUUGUCCUCUGUACAUCACCAAGUCCACUUUCAGAUUUAAUUCAAAGAGCUGAACAAAAAUAAGGAAAUCAGGGCUGGGGGACCCUGUGUGCCCUGAUAGAACCUACCCAGUGGGCUAUGCUCUCGACGCCUGAGAAAAAUGGAUGCUUGGCUCCACUCUCUGUGGAAGACAUUGAGGAUUCAUUUAUAUACUUUUAUGGUGGCAGGUUUGGCGGUGAUUGGUUUGUG